GACAGAGGGGGCAAGCGUUGCUCGGAAUCACUGGGCGUAAAGGGCGCGUAGGCGGUCUGUCGCGUCGGUCGUGAAAACUUGGGGCUUAACCCUGAGCUUGCGGUCGAUACGGGCAUGACUGGAGUUCGGUAGGGGAGACUGGAAUUCCUGGUGUAGCGGUGAAAUGCGCAGAUAUCAGGAGGAACACCGGUGGCGAAGGCGGGUCUCUGGGCCGAUACUGACGCUGAGGAGCGAAAGCGUGGGGAGCGAACAGG
rnacentral:rRNA from 1 species